CUCUAAAAACAGCUUAUCUUGCUGCUGGUUAAAUGGUUUUAUGCAUUGGCUCUUCCUAUUACAUAUACAAAUAUUUCUCACUCUGCCGUAUUUCGAACAUAAUACUACCAAAAUUAUGGUUAGAUCAAUAUUUGCUGUUUACAUUAUUAAAACUGUGUGCAUGGACUUCACAGCUGAACCAUAUUGUAUGAUUAUACUUACUGCAGAUUUUGUUUUCCUGCCAUUAUUGUCUUGUUUUCUUUUUUCUAUUUGCUUUAUUUGUAUAUACUCAGCCAUAACCCUCUCCUACCUGGAUAAAUCUUACUUUAAUACACUCAAACUCUUGAGAAGUUAAAAUCAGUUUCAUUUUCUUCAAAUAAUCAUUCAACUCAGAGCCUCUGAUCUGCUCCAGAGCCUUUGAUCUGCUCCAAACUGAAUGGUUUGAUGUCUACGUCUCCAAAGGUUUGACCUCUUGUGUGACCUUAGAACUCUGAGGAAUUUUUUUACCACUCUCUUUGUAUCCCCUUUUCCUGGCUUCCCUCAUCUCUAACCAUCCUCUUCCUGAUUUAUUGGGUCAUUUGGGGAGAUCAUGUUCUUCAGCAGAUACUUGAGAAAAAUAGAUGUGUGAAUAAGUAUUUGAAGACUUAAAUAUCUGAAAAUGCCUUUCCUCUUCAUUUGCCUAAGUUGAUAGCUUGGUGAGCAUGAAUUCUAAAUUUAAAAAUAAUUCCAUCCAGAAUUGAAAGUCUUUUCCAUUAUAUUCUGGGCUCUAGUCUUGCUGUUACAAAGUCAGUAUUAUUCCAAUUUCUGGUCUUUGAUACUUGGCUUACUUUUAGUUUUUGAAAGCUUGUGGAAUUUCUGUUUCCAGUGUCCUGAAAUUUCACCAAGACAUGCCUUACAGUAGUUGUACUUUUAUCUAUUUUACUGACUCUCAGUAGGCUCUUUUCCUGGAAGCUGUCAUUAAGUUUUGAGAAACUUUCUUGAAUUACUUCCUUUUGUCCUUUUCAUUCAUUGUUUUCUUAUAUUUCUAUUAUACUGUUUGAUGUGUGAAAGAGAAUGUUACCAUUAAUUUCUGCUUGCUGUGGAUUCUUCCUCAUUCUAUCUUCUGCCUUCCCACCCUUCCAUGUGGCAAAUGUAACGCUGAAUGUAAAUAUAAAUAUAAAUAUAAAUAUUCUUCAUUCCCUAGAUUUACCUUUAUAUCUUUAUCACAUGAAAGUCUGCCUAAAUAAUUUGCUGUUUAGUUUUAUCUGUAUGUGAACUUUAUAAAUGUCUGGCAUUAUCUUAUACAUAUCUAAGAUAAAAGUUGAACUUGUUUGGUUAAGGGCCAAAUAAUCAAUACUUUAGCCUUUGCAAGUCACAAAUUCUCUGUCCUCACAAUUCAACUCUGCCCUAUGGUAGAGAAGCAGAUAUCAACAAGCAGAUGUGGCUAGUUUCAUUACAUUACUUACAAAAACAGGUGGCAUUCAAUAUGCCAUAGUUUGCUAACUUCUGCUCCAGGGAAAAUCUGGACAUAUGCACAGGAAAUGCAGAACUUUAUCCAAGGAAUAUAGAAAACAAUGGCAAAUUGUUUAUUUUAAGAGUUACAAUUAAACAAUGUUCUGGAUCUUGAAUAAUCUAUAUUACAUUAUGUUUCUAAAAUUCAGCCAAAUUAAUUCUUAUGGGUAUAGUUCCAUGUUUUUGCUGCUACUCCAUUGAAUAUGCUACUAUGUCACAAUUUAUUUAUCCAUAGUCUUGUCAAUAUAUACUUGGGUUGUUUCUAAUUUUUGUUUUCUAAUGUAGUUUCCCAAAUAUAUAAACCAACCAACAACAUACAAAGACAUCCUCAAUGCACACCUUUCCAGUAGUUGAUAAUAUUUAACAAUCUAGUAUAUAUAAAAUGAUAUGUCAUAAUUUGCAUUUCCCUGAUUGCUAAAGAAUGUAAAUAUCUUUCCUUUAAAUAUAUUGUCAGUUUGAAUUUCUUCUUUAGUGGCACACUUAUUUGAAUGUGUGAAUGCCCAUUCACACAGGACAUCACAUAAAAACAAUAUGGACACAGAACUUUGGCACAGUCCUUUAAAAAGAAAAAGAUAAUUUAUCCCUAGGCUUGUUCUGGUCUCCUAUCUGUCACUGGUCCAAGUUUGUUCUGUGGAAAAUUAACUUUUCCAUGCUUGUUUCUAAGUUAUAUUUUUCAGCCUCUUUGUGCAGCUACUGGGAGGAAUAUCUCAAACAUGAAAAAUAUUUUGGUUUCAUUCUCUCCUUUCAUAUGUGCACCUUCAAUGUCUGUAGAAACAGUUGAGAAAGGAGAUCAGAAAGCUAGCUGGAAGUUCUUCUUGGAAGGUUAUUAAUCAUCUUUCUCAUUCUGAGACACAACACCUGGCCCCCACAAGUCAAAGGAGAAGAGGUAUAACUACUAACUGUGAUAUAUCAACUUGGCCGGAGUAAGAAACACCUAGAAGAUUAGUAAAGCACAAUUGUGGGUGUGUCUGUGGAUGACUGAUAUGUAGGUCAGCAAACUGAGGGGGGAAUAUCCAUGCCAAGGGGCAUCAAAUAAUAGGCUUGCAGCCUGGAUGGAAUAAAAAGAAAAAAAAGAAAAAACGAGAAAGAAUUGUGCCCAUUUUGAGCUGGUGCUGUCUUUGCCUGUGGACACCAGUCACCAGGUCUCCAGUUCUUCAGCCUUCCAACACAGUGUCACACCUGUGCCUUUCCAGUGAGCUUCUAGAGUUUUGACCUAGGAUCAGUGCUGCAUCCUUGAUCCCUCUUGUGCUGUGGCCUCCGUCUUCUUGGACUGAACAGCUACUGGGUUCUCCAGCUCACUGCAGUUCACAUGACCACUGGUUUGUCCUGUGGCACAGGCAGUGCCACAGACAGUCAUUGUGGACUCUCCUGCCUUUGUUCCCAUAAAUCCACCUAGUAAAUACUCUUGUGUAACUAACUAUACAUAAAUUUUCUUUUGAAUUUUCUCCCAUACAGAAUACUAAAACAGAUUUUGGUACCAGGAUUGGUUCUAGAAAAAUAUAAUUGUAAGGAUAAAUUUCUCCAAUCAUUUCAGUUGUUCCUGGAAUUGGCUCUGUAAUUUGAUGACACCUAAAGUUGUUAGUCUCUCAACUAAUGUAGAAAGUGCUGAUAGUCCAUGAUGUGAACUAUUUAAAGUAAUAUGCAACAUAGAUCCAUUUGAUUAUUUUAAUUCACAACUUGCAAGAUGUAAGAGAUUUAGUGACUUUAUACAUAACACUUUUGAAAAUUUUGGAAGCAUGAGGCAUAUGAUGCUGGAUCGUUGCUGUUAGUAUCCUUAAAAAAAUUAAAAAAGGAAAAUGAUGAUUUCACAUUUCUAGCUCCAGACAAGUAUAAGCAACAUCAAGGAUUCUAAGUGUGUUCUGGUGGAGAAUCUUCUUUCCUUUAGGCAAAGGAUUGGAAGUGCUGUAGAGCAAAGACAAGCCCUCAUAAUGCUAAAUUAUGGCUAAAUUGCAGUGAAAUUUUAACACCCACCUUCAAAUUAUAUCUGCAGUUAACAUGAAGGCACUGAUCAGAAAAGAAUGGGAUCCCAUAAACUGGCAUGGAGAUGUCUGUGAAAAACCUGAUGAGGCUGGGUACCUUGGGCUCCUAAUUUGGAUGAGAUUAUAUUGCCAGAGAAAAAGAUUUCCUGACCCUCGGUGACAGAGGUGUCCCCACCCCCAGCUUCUGUGGUGCUGGCCUCUUCUCUUCCUGAAGGAGCUAAUCCUGUGUUGCCUGUGGAAACAGUAUGAAUCCUUCUCUGAUGCAGCUGCCAAGGAAGACAAUGCCAAUGCUCCUCAGGACCCACUCUUGCCAUCAUUUGUCUCUUAUUUGUCUGAGAUUUUAUUUUGCAGGCUCAAAUCUCAGGAGGCUUCUCAAAGUACGCUACCCAGCAUGACCCAUGGGACAUGGGAAGGUAUGCUACAUUCCUGACUAACUUCUUGAGCUUUCCAGUUCUUAACAACCAAAGGUUUGGGGAACAGGAAUAGAAAUGGAUUUUAAGGGUGUGAGACAAUAGUAAAAGGAACAUCAACCUGGAUUAGGCUGAAUUUCUUGAUAUGAGCCAAUUAAACAGAGAUUCUGGAUUUAAUGCUGCAGUUUGUAGAGUUAAAAAGGAUGCCAGUGGUUUACUUAGUUAAUUGCCUAAAAUACAGAUCAAAAGAUGGUCCACUGUAAAUGACCUGGAGAUGCCUGAUAUUCCUUGGUUUACUAUUGGUGAGGGUAAUGACAGUCAUGUGACACUCCAUUCUAACCACCACAAAAGGAAACUGGGACAAGGAGUUAAAAAGUGUUUGACUUAGAUUCACAAUAUACUUAUUUUUUAAUUCCUUAAAAAGACUGUUCCAAUCUUCUCUCUAGUAGAUAAUGGCUGCUAAAUUUCUGGGUUCUUGGAAGACAUAUACACUUCAGAAUUUAAACUGCCACUUGCUCCUCCCCUUUCAUCGUGGCAUGCCUGAUCUUAUGUGUUUGAAAUACUAUAAUCCAAACACUUACCAUCUUCAUUAUCCUUUCCGAAGAAUCAGCCUUAAGUGGUUUUCCUUCUCUGUCGGGAAAGGACAGUAUGCUAUCUGUGGUAUGUGGUAUCCCUGAGAGUCCAACUGCUUCCACAACAAACUACUAAUCUUUAUAUUUGGUUUCUUCUCAAUAGUACAUUCCUAAGGUAAGUUGUCCUAAUCUUUUGGCUUUUAGGGACAUUCUAUAGGUAAGUUAAAUUGAUUUUCAAUUUUUUCUAUAGCUCAAUUUCUAGGAUUCAAUUUUCGUGGCUCUGCUAAGUCAAUGACCAUUCAUCAUAAUGAAUCUCCUUUUCAGCAUCCAAAAAGUUAUUUUUACAUUCUCUUUAACUCCCUUUUUCUUUUCUUGUUAGUGUUUUAGGACAACAGUAACAACAAUAAGAAAAUCUUACUAUUUUCUUAUGUGAUUUUUAAGAGGGACCUGAGCUUUAAUUAGUGUGUUUAAUCUGUCAUAUUUAAUCACGUUUCCCAAAAUUCACCAUAGCAGGCUUCCCAAGACAAUGAUAUUCCUGCUAGUUGUUGCAACAUUGUGACUAACGAUGGGAAUUUUCAAUAUUGUGGAAGAGACAUUUUUGUUCUCUUGGGGGCCUUUUGGUCAACAACAUAUUUUUUCCCAGAAGUUUCUCUUAUGUAUGAGUUAUUUCAUGACUCCAUAGACGAAGCAUAUCCGAGUCAAGUGUUUUACCUGUGACUUUCAAAAUGAUUCUCAAGUUUAAAUUGUACUGCCAGCUCUAAAUCUGGGCUUCUUUUAUUUUUUGAGUAUUUUUUAUUAGUACAUGACUGCAGUACAUCAUGUUUAUGCUCCGUGUGGGGACUUGGUAUACGUAUAUAACACAUCCUAAUUCCUUUUCCUUUAAUCCAUUUUCCCUCCCCUCCCUCUGUCUCUUGAUUCCAUUCCCAUUUGAUUUGCCUCUCCUGUACCCACACCAAAUAUUAUCCUCCAAACUCUCUCCACAAAACCCCACCUCUACCCUUUCCACUCCAAAGUUACCAGCUCUAGGUGAACAAAUGGAGAACAUGGAGUCUGACAACCUGGGACCUACAAACCUGGAUGAUUAUACUGUGGAGGAAAGUAAGCGCUACCCUCCUUCCAGCUGGAGAUGUGCCGUCUUUCUCUUGAUUUCACCUGCUAAGCUAGACAAACUUCACACUGAAUCUUUCCAAGUUCAGCAUGCUACAGCUCUUACUUGGACAUUUAUUCUUUCUGUUAAUUCAGGAAGUCCCCCAAUUUUUUUCUAACAUCCUAUAAUCAAUCUUCUUAAAAACUAUGGUGCUUAGAAAUCUCCAGAAGGUUUUCUUAAUAUACAGAUUCUGAAUAAUUAGGUCUUUGGUGGGAUAUGAGAUUCUGCAUUUCUAACAAGUUCCCAGGUGAUGGAUCACUGUUCAACUGCAUGCUGCUAAUCUGAGGACCACACGUUGAGUUGCAAGACUCUGGCUAAUGGCUUGAACCUAUUUCCAUUGGAUAUUUCAGCCAUGUCUCCAGUAAUGAAGGCUAAAUUUCCCUGGGAAUAUCACAGCUCUCAUGAUGCUAAAUAUAGCAAAGUGAGGAAGAGAAGAAGGAGGGAAGCAAGGAUCUGCAGGUAAAAUUGAAGCUCAUGAGGAAAGUGAAGAGAAGGAACUUAAUGCAGAAGAAGGAGGUUGCAAGCUGGGCUUUCUCACUGAGCCCUAGCUUGCUGUUGGGUCAGGGGGACUCCAACUUGCAGACACAUGGUGACUACUGGUGAUCCCAGGGGCCUCCAGAGACACACAGUGGAAUGGAGUGGUGGACUCAGAGGACUACACAGGCUGAGAAUUAAAAGUGAAAUUUGACAAACAAGAAUUACCUUUUAUCUCCAACUUUGAAGAAGUCAAGCUUUAGUUUCAUUAACGCCCCAUCAAAAUGCACAGUUACAUAGAUACUUCUGUACUUGCUUUUUAAAGUAUUUCUGAGCUCCAAAAGGGAAAGAGUUGGGGCUGUUUUGUUCUCUCUGUGUGUUCAGUUCCCAGCCUGUGCCCAGCACCCAGCAGGAGUAGGUAAGUAUUGGUGGAAAGAAUGAUCACGCCUGCUUCAAACCAAACUCAUAUAUGGAAGCCACACUGAAGCAUCUAGAGCCACAGAAAGCAGAGGAAACCACUGAAAUUCAAGAAUACUUUCCAAAUAAUGAAAGACUAAUAACAGAAUUUAUAUGACUUUAUUCAGUACUCAGACCUGUACUCCAACCAAAAGAUUGUACUCCAGGUUUGGCAAUCUUCCCUCAGACAAGUUUCCAUAAAACAUGAAGUUACAAAGAUCCAUGUGCUGGCCAAAAAGCCAGCAGUAUUUUUACAAAUCUCAGAAAACAAAUCAGCAAAAAACAUAUGUUAAAUACAUAAAUGAAAAACUAUUUUUUAAAAUUUGUAUAAUGUCUAUAUUCUCUACUUAGUGCGCAUGCAUUCAUUUUUUUUUCCCCAUUGAGUUUAUUGGUACAUUUUCGG